AGGUGUUGUGCCAUCUGGCACUGACAUCUGCCACCACAUUGACCCCAGGUUAUUUUGGCUGCUUUGUCUGGCAAGGAGGGCACCUACAUCUUGCUUCACAACUCCAUGCUGGGCGUUCCAUGUCUGCAGUUUCUGUGAAGAUGUCAAUCUUCCCCCAUAGAGGAGUAUGUUUUAAAAUUAAGAUUAUAGGAAAAAGAGGGUAGUUUUCUAGAACUUGUAAGUAUGAUAUCGAGUCCAUAAAACGUUUGUUGAUUUUCACUUAUUUCUAGAAAAUUAAGUAUAAA
rnacentral:snRNA from 1 species